rnacentral:misc_RNA from 1 species
CAGGUAUUACACCAAAGUAAGUAAAAACAUUUCUGCUGUAUUUCUUGUGUUGAGUUGGAAGAAAAUGUGACUGAUGAAGGGCUCUUUUAUGAGGAUAACAACAUGUUUUCUUUCCCAUAUUCAGAAAAACCAUAAAAGAAAAGCAAACAGAGAGAGUUAUAUUGCAUUCCAGAACUUUGCAGAACAAAAGUAAUGAACAAGCCUGAUAACUGAAUAUCCUUGCCUGAUAUUAAACUUUCCUUUACUUCUGGAUUGUGGCUCAAAGUGAUUGGAAUAUUGAAUAACUAGGCUAAGUUUAAGCCAUCAACUCUCAAAUUCUCCAACUGAUGUGAAAAUUGUUGACAAUAUUGCAAGUUGGUUUCAUGAAUCCUCAAUAAUUUGAUCUUUAGAGUGCAAGUUAUACAAUUGUGAAAUGGUCAUUUCUCAUUAACUCUACCAUUAAAUUGCAAUUUUGAAAACUCUCUCUGCUUUCAAAGUUAUCUUGGUCAAGGGCUGGCUGCCAUAAGGGACCCUCUUCCUAACAAUUCAUCUUGAGGUUUGGCCCAUACAUUGGGAGGAUUUGUUAAGAAAAAUGAACUAUAGUUUGUAAAAUAAAUGAACUUGACGUUGUUUUGAUACCAUUUGAAACACUCUUCUGGCAUGAUGAUAAUUCUAUCUAUUGACAGUUGUAUAUCAAAUUGCACUGUGUUAUACUUGGCAGGAGUUCAAUGGGAGAGUCAGGGGCUUAAAGGUUGAUGCAGUGGAUACCACGGGUGCUGGGGAUGCUUUUGUGGCAGGAAUAUUAUCACAGCUAGCUGAGGAUCUGUCCUUGCUUA